rnacentral:rRNA from 1 species
CUUGGUCAUUUAGAGGAAGUAAAAGUCGUAACAAGGUCUCCGUUGGUGAACCAGCGGAGGGAUCAUUACCGAGUUUACAACUCCCAAACCCCUGUGAACAUACCUAUUGUUGCCUCGGCGGAUCAGCCCGGCCCCGGUAAAACGGGACGGCCCGCCAGAGGACCCCUAAACUCUGUUUUUAGUGUAACUUCUGAGUAAAACAAACAAAUAAAUCAAAACUUUCAACAACGGAUCUCUUGGUUCUGGCAUCGAUGAAGAACGCAGCAAAAUGCGAUAAGUAAUGUGAAUUGCAGAAUUCAGUGAAUCAUCGAAUCUUUGAACGCACAUUGCGCCCGCCAGUAUUCUGGCGGGCAUGCCUGUUCGAGCGUCAUUUCAACCCUCAAGCACAGCUUGGUGUUGGGACUCGCGUUAAUUCGCGUUCCCCAAAUUGAUUGGCGGUCACGUCGAGCUUCCAUAGCGUAGUAGUAAAACCCUCGUUACUGGUAAUCGUCGCGGCCACGCCGUUAAACCCCAACUUCUGAAUGUUGACCUCGGAUCAGGUAGGAAUACCCGCUGAACUUAAGCAUAUCAAUAAGCGGAGGA